AGAUGUGAUCAUACCAGCACUAAAGCACCGGAUCCCAUCAGAACUCCGAAGUUAAGCGUGCUUGGGCGAGAGUAGUACUAGGAUGGGUGACCUCCUGGGAAGUCCUCGUGUUGCAUUCC
rnacentral:rRNA from 1 species